GGGCGUCUUGGCGGCGACCAUCUUUUGGAACGUCGCCAGCUCCGAGAAGGCGAUGAGCUGCCGCGCACAGAGGGGGGCGCACAGAGGGGGGCAACGCAGCAGCCAACAGCC
rnacentral:SRP_RNA from 13 species